AUGUUAGCGGCGGACGGGUGAGUAACACGUGGGUAACCUACCUAUAAGACUGGGAUAACUCCGGGAAACCGGGGCUAAUACCGGAUAAUAUUUUGAACCGCAUGGUUCGAUAGUGAAAGACGGUUUCGGCUGUCACUUAUAGAUGGACCCGCGCCGUAUUAGCUAGUUGGUAAGGUAACGGCUUACCAAGGCGACGAUACGUAGCCGACCUGAGAGGGUGAUCGGCCACACUGGAACUGAGACACGGUCCAGACUCCUACGGGAGGCAGCAGCC
rnacentral:rRNA from 1 species